GUACUACUACCUAAACUACUACUAAAGUUAGAACGAUGCAGGGAAGAUUAGCAUAGUUCCUGCGCAAGGAUGACACGCAAAAUCGUGAACCGUUCCACAUUUUU